rnacentral:rRNA from 1 species
AUUGAACGCUGGCGGCAGGCCUAACACAUGCAAGUCGAACGAGUGGCGGACGGGUGAGUAAUGUCUGGGAAACUGCCUGAUGGAGGGGGAUAACUACUGGAAACGGUAGCUAAUACCGCAUACCAUCGGAUGUUCCCAGAUGGGAUGAGCUAGUAGGUGGGGUAAAGGCUCACCUGGGCGACGAUCCCUAGCUGGUCUGAGAGGAUGACCAGCCACACUGGAACGGAGACACGGUCCAGACUCCUACGGGAGGCAGCAGUGGGGAAUAUUGCACAAUGGGCGAAAGCCUGAUGCAGCCAUGCCGCGUGGAUGAAGAAGGGUUGCGGGUUGUAAAGUUCUUUCAGCGGGGAGGCGUUACCUGAAGAAGAAGCCCCGGCUAACUCCGUGCAAGCCGCCGCGGUAAUAC